rnacentral:lncRNA from 1 species
AAACAGACUCUUGCAAGUUAUAGGAGCAAAGCUACUAAAGAAAGAGAUAAACUUUUGAAACAAGAAGAAAUGAAGUCACUGGCUUUUGAAAAGGCUAAAUUAAAAAGAGAAAAAGCAGAUGCCCUAGAAGCGAAGAAAAAAGAAAAAGAAGAUAAAGAGAAAAAGAGGGAAGAAUUGAAAAAAAUUGUUGAAGAAGAGAGACUAAAGAAAAAAGAAGAAAAAGAGAGGCUUAAAGUAGAAAGAGAAAAGGAAAGAGAGAAGUUACGUGAAGAAAAGCGAAAGUAUGUGGAAUACUUAAAACAGUGGAGUAAACCUAGAGAAGAUAUGGAAUGUGAUGACCUUAAGGAACUUCCAGAACCAACACCAGUGAAAACUAGACUACCUCCUGAAAUCUUUGGUGAUGCUCUGAUGGUUUUGGAGUUCCUUAAUGCAUUUGGGGAACUUUUUGAUCUUCAAGAUGAGUUUCCUGAUGGAGUAACCCUAGGCAAGUGCUUUAGAAGCUCUUGUAGGAAAUGACAGUGAAGGCCCACUGUGUGAAUUGCUUUUUUUCUUCCUGACUGCAAUCUUCCAGGCAAUAGCUGAAGAAGAAGAGGAAGUAGCCAAAGAGCAACUAACUGAUGCUGACACCAAAGAUUUAACAGAGGCUUUGGAUGAAGAUGCAGACCCCACAAAAUCUGCACUGUCUGCAGUUGCAUCUUUGGCAGCUGCAUGGCCACAGUUACACCAGGGCUGCAGUUUGAAAAGUUUGGAUCUUGAUAGCUGCACUCUUUCAGAAAUCCUCAGACUGCACAUCUUAGCUUCAGGUGCUGAUGUAACAUCAGCAAAUGCAAAGUAUAGAUAUCAAAAACGAGGAGGAUUUGAUGCUACAGAUGAUGCUUGUAUGGAGCUUCGUUUGAGCAAUCCCAGUCUAGUGAAGAAACUGUCAAGCACCUCAGUGUAUGAUUUGACACCAGGAGAAAAAAUGAAGAUACUCCAUGCUCUCUGUGGAAAGCUACUGACCCUAGUUUCAACUAGGGAUUUUAUUGAAGAUUAUGUUGAUAUAUUACGACAGGCAAAGCAGGAGUUCCGGGAAUUAAAAGCAGAACAACAUCGAAAAGAGAGGGAAGAAGCAGCUGCCAGAAUUCGUAAAAGGAAGGAAGAAAAACUUAAGGAGCAAGAACAAAAAAUG